rnacentral:rRNA from 1 species
GACGAACGCUGGCGGCGUGCUUAACACAUGCAAGUCGAACGGAAAGGCCCUGCUUUUGUGGGGUGCUCGAGUGGCGAACGGGUGAGUAACACGUGAGUAACCUGCUCUUGACUUUGGGAUAACUUCAGGAAACUGGGGCUACUACCGGAUAGGAGCUCCUGCUGCAUGGUGGGGGGUGGAAAGUUUCGGCGGUUGGGGAUGGACUCGCGGCUUAUCAGCUUGUUGGUGGGGUAGUGGCUUACCAAGGCUUUGACGGGUAGCCGGCCUGAGAGGGUGACCGGCCACAUUGGGACUGAGAUACGGCCCAGACUCCUACGGGAGGCAGCAGUGGGGAGUAUUGCACAAUGGGACGAAGCCUGAUGCAGCAACGCCGCGUGCGGGAAGACGGCCUUCGGGUUGUAAACCGCUUUCGCCUGUGACGAAGCGUGAGUGACGGUAAUGGGUAAAGAAGCACCGGCUAACUACGUG